rnacentral:sRNA from 1 species
CCAGCAGAUGGCGCUGCGCAGCACGUUAUGAUCCUGGUGUGCUCGGCUGGCGCUGGGGAGGGGACCUCUCAAAAGUUUUGAGUGUGUGUCCGUGUGUCUCAGUGUGUGUCUCUGUGUGUGUCUGUGUGCCAUUCCUGGGCUGCAACAAUGUUUGUGGAAUUAAGUGGUGAUUUCCUUUAGUCUGAGCCUUAGUUCUGGCUGUGCUAAGGCGUCGAUGUUAAAGUUUACCACACGGCAUCUUUCUUUUUCCUAGUGAAACCAGGAGUUUCAAACACACAUGAUACCCUCACCCUUACUGUUGGCUGUGAGCUAGCGCAGGUCUGCAUUUUCUGAUCAAAUCGCUUGUUCAGCCUCCAUAUUAGCAGACAACAUGCUCUGGGAGACAAAGAAGUGCUGAAAAGGAAAAAAAAGUAAACAAGGCCAGUCUGCACGCAACUCCAAUAAGAUACAUGUAGCAUUGUUUGGGAUAAUGGAUUUGAUGGGAGUGAAAACAGCGGGGGAUUAAAUGGACCUAGAACGGCUUGCAGAAGAACCCAGCUACAUUUUAUACAAAAGAAAGAAAGAAAGAAAGAAA